rnacentral:lncRNA from 1 species
CUUUCGAUUCUUUUCCAAUUUUUUUGUGCGCUUUUUAAGUCCUAGUUUCUCUUAUAGAAACAUUGAUAUGUCCAAUUGAUCUUUUCUCUCUGUUUUUUUAAUUGCUAUUGAUCUGAUCUGUCGUUACAUACGGCGAAAAUAAAAAUAUGAUCUGGCGACCUGAUCUUUUAUGUAAUUCGUCUCCGAUUGAUCUUUCGUCCGAUUGAAAAUCUGAUCUGUCGACCUGAUCUU